rnacentral:rRNA from 1 species
UACGUAGGUGGCAAGCGAUACUCGGAAUCACUAGGCGUAAAGCGCAGGUAGGCGGUUUGGUAAGUCUUUUGUGAAAGCUCCCGGCUUAACUGGGAGAGGUCAAGGGAAACUACCGGACUAGAGUGUGGUAGGGGAUACUGGAAUUCCUGGUGUAGCGGUGAAAUGCGUAGAUAUCAGGGGGAAUACCUAUGGCGAAAGCAGGUAUCUGGGCCAUCACUGACGCUGAGCUGCGAAAGCUAGGGGAGCAAACAGG